UACGUAGGGUGCAGGCGUUAAUCGGAAUUACUGGGCGUAAAGCGUGCGCAGGCGGCCUCUUAAAUCAGAUGUGAAAUCCCCGGGCUUAACCUGGGAACUGCGUUUGAAACUGGAAGGCUAGAGUGUGGCAGAGGGGGGUGGAAUUCCACGUGUAGCAGUGAAAUGCGUAGAGAUGUGGAGGAACACCGAUGGCGAAGGCAGCCCCCUGGGCUAACACUGACGCUCAUGCACGAAAGCGUGGGGAGCAAACAGG
rnacentral:rRNA from 1 species